rnacentral:rRNA from 1 species
AAGUCGAACGCGAAAGUCCCCUUCGGGGGACAAGUAGAGUGGCGCACGGGUGAGUAACACGUAGGUAAUCUACCUUUGGAUGGGGAAUAACAACCGGAAACGGUUGCUAAUACCGCAUAAUGCAGCGGCACCUAAUGGUGACAGUUGUUAAAGCGGGGGAUCGCAAGACCUCGCGUCUGAAGAGGAGCCUGCCGCAGAUUAGCUAGUUGGUAAGGUAACGGCUUACCAAGGCGAUGAUCUGUAGCCGGCCUGAGAGGGCGGUCGGCCACACUGACACUGACAUACGGGUCAGACUCCUACGGGAGGCAGCAGUCGGGAAUUUUGGGCAAUGGGCGAAAGCCUGACCCAGCAACGCCGCGUGAAGGAUGAAAUCCCUCGGGAUGUAAACUUCGCAAGAACGGGAAGAAUAAGUAAGAGCUAACAUCUCUUACGAUGACGGUACUGUUUGUAAGCUCCGGCUAACUCCGUGCCAGCAGCCGCGGUAAUACGGGGGGAGCAAGCGUUGUUCGGAUUUACUGGGCGUAAAGGGCGCGUAGGCGGCCACCGCAAGUCGACUGUGAAAUCUCCGGGCUUAACCCGGAAAGGUCAGCCGAUACUGCGGGGGUGAGAGUGCAGAAGGGGCAACUGGAAUUCUCGGUGUAGCGGUGAAAUGCGUAGAUUUCGAGAGGAACACCUGCGGCGAAGGCGGGUUGCUGGGCUGACACUGACCCUGAGGCGCGAAAGCUAGGGGGAGCGAACGGGAUUAGAUACCCCGGUAGUCCUAGCCUUAACCAAUGAAUGCUUGGUGUCUG